rnacentral:snRNA from 1 species
AUCACUUCUCAGCCUUUUGGCUAAGAUCAAGUGUAGUAUCUGUUCUUACCAGUUUUAUUUGCCUACGUGGAAGCGGGGAGGGGCUCUU